rnacentral:rRNA from 1 species
CCUACGGGAGGCAGCAGUGGGGGAUAUUGCACAAUGGGGGCAACCCUGAUGCAGCGACGCCGCGUGGGCGAAGAAGUAUUUCUGUAUGUAAAGCCCUAUCAGCAGGGGAGAAGAAAUGACGGUACCUGAGUAAGAAGCACCGGCUAAAUACGUGCCAGCAGCUGCCGUAGUACGUAUGGUGCAAGCGUUAUCCGGAUUUAUUGGGUGAAAAGGGAGCGUAGGCGGCAUGGCAAGCCUGAGGGGAAAGCCUGCGGCUCAACCGUAGGACGGCAUUUGGAACUAGCGGGCUGGAGUGCGUGGGAGGCAGGCGGAAUGCGUAGUGUAGCGGUGAAAUGCGUAGAUAUUAGGAGGAACACCAGUGGCGAAGGCGGCCUACUAGACGGUGACUGACGCUGAGGCUCGAAAGCGUGGGGAGCAAACAGGAUUAGAUACCCUUGUAGUC